CUACCGACGUUGACCACCGGUAAUCUCCGCAGGAGCUCGACGCCGGCGGUACUCCGGCGACCCCCUGGACGCCUCACCACCACCAUCCGGUUCCCCACGUUCUGCCGCACCCCCGACGCGAACUCUCCCGCCUUGGUUCGCCCUGAGUCGCCAGGUCCAUCCUCGCCAGAUCUUGUCCGCCAUGGACGCUCAGUCCCCGAGCUCCGCCACCUCUGGCUCAAGUUGCAACAGGCCUUUCUUUUGCCACGAACUGAUACAUAGCCCAGUGAUCCAGCGGCUACUGGGCCUCAUCCCGUGUCGUCGCCAGCUUGUUCGCCGCCGAGCGUGCGGCAGGCCGCUAUCCGCUGCUCAGCUUUUGCUUCUUCUCGGAUAGGAUCACGAAGUGGUGAUGUGAGAUACGACGAGUUCUCCGACAAGUUCUUCUGCAGCUUUUCACA